UGCCAGACUCCUACGGGAGGCAGCAGUGGGGGAUAUUGGACAAUGGGGGGAACCCUGAUCCAGCGACGCCGCGUGAGUGAAGAAGUAUCUCGGUAUGUAAAGCUCUAUCAGCAGGGAAGAAAGAAAUGACGGUACCUGAGUAAGAAGCCCCGGCUAACUACGUGCCAGCAGCCGCGGUAAUACGUAGGGGGCAAGCGUUAUCCGGAUUUACUGGGUGUAAAGGGAGCGUAGACGGCAGUGCAAGUCUGAAGUGAAAGCCCCGGGCUUAACCCGGGAAUUGCUUUGGAAACUGUACGGCCGGAGUGCUGGAGAGGUAAGCGGAAUUCCUAGUGUAGCGGUGAAAUGCGUAGAUAUUAGGAGGAACACCAGUGGCGAAGGCGGCUUACUGGACAGUAACUGACGUUGAGGCUCGAAAGCGUGGGGAGCAAACAGGAUUAGAUACCCGGGUAAC
rnacentral:rRNA from 1 species